AAAGCAAGACCCACUAUGGAAAUAGUUGAUUUUGGGGGAAUGGCAUAGAUUUGAAUGAGCGGGUUACUAAAAAUGUUGGGAAAACCCUUAUUUUUGGAGCAAUAGCAUAGAUUUGAACGAGCGGAUUACUAAGGAAAACCCUUUUUCUUGGGGGCUAUAGCAUAGAUUUGAAUGAGCGGAUUACUAAAAAUGUUUGGGAUCCUGGGUCGUAUUCCCCAAAGCCGAACCCCACGUUUUUCUGGGUUGUAUUCCACUCGGCAGAGACAGUAAUUUCGGCACUGUCCCGCUCAUCACAGCCUCCGCGUUUCCUCCCAGUAAUAUACAACCGUGAAUCCGGCUCAUCUAUUCCAAUCGAACGAACUGAUCGUGUAAUGAUGAAACCUGCAAAUUCACCAUGCUCAGGAACAGUUGGCGCGCCUGAAGUUGCUCUAGCCAAUAACUAAAAAAGAUAAGUAGAAAUAGAAUUUGCAUUUUGCUAAAUUAUGCAAUACUCACUAUUUAUCCUACAAAGAGUUCUAUAUAAAUACAAAUUAUAAUGCUCAUCAUAGUUACUGCGCAAUGUUUUAGAAGCCAUGAGUAUGGGACUAAGCUAUGGGCUGGUGCAAAUGAGUUGUGUAGCUCUUAAAUUUUGCAGGGAUGCUGGAUUCCAAAAACUGGUGCUGGAAUGCUCCAACGGGGAAUUGGUGACUCUUGUAUUCCUCAUGUGAAUCUAAAGGAAAAGGUCAUGCCACCAUGGUAAGGUCACAAGACAAGCCAAAAUUAUUAUUACAUGAGACAUGGAGCCAACUAAAAAUUAUCAUGAGACUUGACUACAUUUGUUCUCUUUGUAAUAAUUUUGACUACUAAUAUAAUGUUUUAAUUGUUUGUAGAGAAAAACGUCAUGCUAUCAUCGGUAUAGUCUCCAUUCAAGAAUCAAGAACCCAGGGAAUUCACAAGACAAUCCAAAAUUAUUAUUACAUGAGACAUGGAGCCAACUUAAAAUUAUCAUGAGACUUGUCUACGUUUGUUCUCUUUGUAAUAAUUUUGACUUGGGGCCAAUUGAAAGUUAUGUAAUAAUUUUACAUGCUUAAACUCUGAAGGAUAGUUUUAAGUUUUAACAGUCUUGUAAUGCAUUAGGACCUAAUUCUAAUUCAAUUUCUUGAAGGCAUUUGGUGAGU